UACAGAGGUCUCAAGCGUUGUUCGGAUUCAUUGGGCGUAAAGGGUGCGUAGGUGGCGCCGUAAGUCGGGUGUGAAAUUUCGGAGCUUAACUCCGAAACUGCAUUCGAUACUGCGGUGCUUGAGGACUGGAGAGGAGACUGGAAUUCAUGGUGUAGCAGUGAAAUGCGUAGAGAUCAGGAGGAAGACCAGUGGCGAAGGCGGGUCUCUGGACAGUUCCUGACACUGAGGCACGAAGGCCAGGGGAGCAAACGGG
rnacentral:rRNA from 1 species